AGAGUUUGGAAUGUCCCCCGAGGUUUGCCUGGCACUGCAGGAGUGCAGGUGCUGCAGGAAUUUUGCUUGCACAAAGCUCAAGCAGAGCAGGAGACAAAAAGGAGUGGUUUUGGGUGAGAUCUGUGCCUUGCACAAAGGAUCCAUUGGAGGCUGCUGAGGAUGUUUUGUGCCAAGAAGGGAGAAAGAAAUCCUAACAAAUAACAAGUUCAUGGAGUACUUAAAUCUGAAGACAUGUUCAAGCUCAGACAUAACAUCAGGCAUCCUUGUUCAAACAAAAUCCCCUUGGAGUGACUGCAAUUAAACCCAGAAAGGACGUGGGCCUGGUCUUUAUUUUUGAGCUCUUGCCUCUCCAGUGAUUCAGGUUGGCUUGGAUAAUAAAAAUAAAUCUCUCCUCCUCUUGCCAUAAAUCAGCGUAUUCUGGCUUUUGUCCCCAGGAUGAGCCUGUCUGUUCUAUUGCCAGUGUUCUUCCCAGUGCUUUGUCCCAGCUCUAGGACUGGAUUAUCUUCAGGGACAGGCUGUUGCCUUGUG